CACGUAGGGCGCGAGCGUUGUCCGGAAUCAUUGGGCGUAAAGAGCGCGUAGGCGGUCCGGUAAGUCCGCUCUGAAAGUCCGGGGCUCAACCCCGGGAGGCGGGCGGAUACUGUCGGGCUAGAGUCCGGAAGAGGCGAGUGGAAUUCCUGGUGUAGCGGUGAAAUGCGCAGAUAUCAGGAGGAACACCGAUGGCGAAGGCAGCUCGCUGGGACGGUACUGACGCUGAGGCGCGAAAGCGUGGGGAGCGAACAGG
rnacentral:rRNA from 1 species